GUUCCGCAAAGUUCGACUAAAGAAUAUAAAUUUAAGCAUGGGGAAAUUCAUUGCGAUCAUUUAUUUAAUAAAUGUUUUUCUGCUAUUAGCUCCCUCUUGUAUAGCUGGUAAUCAGGUAACGACGGAAGAUCUUGAAACAUUUAAAGCUGAUAUGGAUAGAAGGCUGAACGAGAUAGUUACAAAACUAGAAAACCUCGCCCUGCAGAUAGUUGAACUAAAGACACUCCCAGGUGUUCGUGGUCCUCCAGGAUUCGGUUUCCCUGGCCCAAGGGGAGAAAAAGGCGAAAAGGGAGAACCACCACUUGUACUACACAGAUCGAUGGUCGACGGAUGAUAAAAAGACCGAGAAGCAUUUAAAAAAAAUGUAUUUACAGCAAAAACAAAUACAAUAGUGUAUUUUCAACUAAAA